GGGGGGGGGGGGGGGCGGGGGGGGGGGGGGGGGGGCGGGGGGGCCCGGCGGGGGAGCUGGGUCGCCUAGUCGUCGACCGGCGCGCGGGGGAGUGGCGCGUAUCCCACCGGCCCCUGACCGCGGGGUCGCCCGCCGCAGGGCGUGCUCCGACCUUAUGCCAUCCUCGUCAGCCCUCUGCCGACGACGAAAGCUUCACACGGUGAGAGAGGGGGCUGCGUCUGAAUAGCCUGCUGGCGGGGUAACGGCCCACCAAGGCGACGAUCAGUAGGGGUUCUGAGAGGAAGGUCCCCCACAUUGGAACUGAGACACGGUCCAAACUCCUACGGGAGGCAGCAGUGAGGAAUAUUGGUCAAUGGGCGUAAGCCUGAACCAGCCAAGUAGCGUGCAGGAUGACGGCCCUAUGGGUUGUAAACUGCUUUUAUGCGGGGAUAAAGUGAGGGACGUGUCCUUCAUUGCAGGUACCGCAUGAAUAAGGACCGGCUAAUUCCGUG
rnacentral:rRNA from 1 species